rnacentral:rRNA from 1 species
AACGAACGCUGGCGGCAUGCCUAACACAUGCAAGUCGAACGAAGGCUUCGGCCUUAGUGGCGCACGGGUGAGUAACGCGUGGGAUUCUGCACCUCGGUUCGGAAUAACAGUUAGAAAUGACUGCUACUUCAGGAUGUUGUCUUCGGUCAAAAGAUUUAUAGCAGAGGGAUUAGCCCGCGUAAGAUUAGGUAGUUGGUGGGGUAAAGGCCUACAAAGCAGACGAUCGUUAGCUGGUCUGAGAGGAUGAUCAGCCACACUGGGACUGAGAACCGGCCCAGACUCCUACGGGAGGCGGCAGUAGUGAAUAUUGGACAAUGGGCGAAAGCCUGAUCCAGUACUGUCGCGUGAGUGAUGAUGGCCUUAGUGUUGUAUAGCUCUUUUACCAGAGAUGUUAAUGACAGUACCUGGAGAAUAAGCUCCGGCUAACUCCGUGCCAGCCGCCGCGGUAA